rnacentral:lncRNA from 1 species
AUGCAGCACAAGCAUAUUUCUGAGUUUUUUUUCAUCAGUUUUGUAAGCAUGCUCUUGGUGGUGCAUUUGGCGAAGUCAGUUUUUGAUACAGAGGAGUGUUUGUCGUUUGUACAACUAACGACUAUUUCUUUUUGCUUCCCUGUUUUUUUUUUUGCAGUUGACUUUUUGGCAAAAUACUGCAUUUUCAGCCCGGAGAAGUUGGCUGUGUUUAAAAGAGCUUUUGAAGUGAUUUUGGAAAUGGUGGACUAUCACAUAACAGAUGGCCUGACAGACCUCAAGCUCUUCGCCGUGAUGGCCAGCUUGGCGCAGAAAAUAACCACACUGGAGUGAGUACCAACGGGGCCACGAAUCUUAAGUCCGCAACCACAAAGGGGUUCAGGGAAGGAUUGUUCUCCCCCCAUAAAUAAGGGGAGAGGAUGGGUCUAAGUGGCUGUGGAAAUAGAUUAAGUAGCUGUUUACACUGCAUUGGAGUGACCUCCCUCCCAUUAAUCCAGGCUAGAGGUGAAGGUCUAAGCCAUCAAGCGCCACAUUUCAGCGAGCGUGUCAGCAGCGCUGUCACAGGGCUGGGUAAUUAAAGCAAAUACCACACACACAGAGCUGGAAGCCACAGCCUACCAGUUGAUUAUUUCCCAUAUGGCACCAGUUUAGAGUCAGUUUUCCCCCCCAAGUCUCUGUCCCCCUCAUUCUCUUCUGUCACAGAAUGUCACUUCUGUUUCUGCUUCAUCAGGAGUUAAGGGGAGGAGGAGGAGGAGGGGGGGGGGAGUUGUGUUAUUUGCAAUUAUGCAGGUGAACUUUUUCCAGAUCAGAUCCUAUAAGGACACCAACAGAAAAAGGGAAAAAAAUAAUAUAGCCACAUUUCAUUUCAUAAACACAGGCUCCCAAUUUUAUAUGCCAUUUGUAGAAAUACAGUUUUGAUUCAAGGUUGGCUGUAGAUGCAUGACUGUCCCCCCAUCAGCUUUUUAAUUUACUAAGAUUUCUAUUAGUAGGGUGCCUGGGCAGCCUCAGCCUGGCUUUCCUGGGCACACGGCCAGCAGUAGUAACUAAGGCAGUGUGCAGAGGAGAGCUCACCAGAGCAAAUUAGCUCCCCUACUGGUGCAGAAUAAGCCACGAUCUAGUCACGUGCCAAGGUGGUGCGGCAGAUCUCAUGACACGCUGCCCGACUGAAGCUCCACUGUGGCUGCAAUCGAAUCCUGGUCUUUAGUUUUGAAGUAAAGACUUGCUCCUAGCACAGCUCACGCUUAAUCAUGUUUUUGUGCUUCCCAGAAGCCCUUUGCCACCUCUCCUGGCACAAAACGAUAUCAUUUUUGACAUUUCACCACUCAACAGAGGCUUGAUUAUGGAAAAUCCCUGCUUCCGCAGACAUGAGCUCCGACACAGAGCCGUUCUGUCUUGCAGUGCCCAUAUAAAAAAACAACAACAACAACUGGCUGAAGAUCUUGUGUUGAAGGUUUCUGUGAAACUGACAAAGACGCCUUUGUUACCCUUCACAUCCAGAGGUUAAAACCACCAGACAGCGAAUCGGAGAAUCACCUGGGGGUGACUGGGAGGAGUGAAUGGUAACCAUCACAUUCACACUAGGCGUCCUUUUGCCUUUUUUUUUUGCCUUGAUGGGAACAAAGGGGUGGCCACAGGGGAAGUCCUGUUUGAAUUAGGCAAGGAGAGAGAUCACAACAGACGCUCUCUUUUUCCCCUGGCACUCUGACCCAAUCCAUCUGCCCCUCGGUUUGGCCAUAUGCUGCAGGAAGACUUUCCCUCUGAAGCAAUUUCACUUUAAAUGCAUCUGCAGGCUCUCUGCUUUCACCCCAAGAGCAGCGAGUCCACAUUCCUGCAGUGGACACUCAAUGUCGGCGGAGGGGACAUUAAGGAAUAGCCCCUUGAGAUGAGAGAUGCGCUCCUCUGUGAACUUCACUGGGCGCUGUAGCUCUGCAAAGGAAUGGGACCUGCUCACCACACUCCUUUCACUGCUGCUUGUCACCUCGCGCCCGGCGCAGGUUUUGUCUUUGCUCCCAAAUCAGACUCGUCAGAUUGGUUUCCGUCCAGUAAGUCACACAGUGCCUGCAGUCGCUUGCCAGCUGAUGGUGAGUUGCCAGCCUUUGCUGAUUUCAAAGAGACUGAGAACUGGCAGCACAAUAAAAGAGCCAACCUAUUUUCAGUGUGCUGGCCCGUUAUCUGCAUAGCAUUUUUCACAUUUAAAACGCAUCUUCAUAAAAAAACAAGCCUUUCUCUUCCCCACAACCUUGUGUAACUCUAAGAGAAAGGCUCAGAGUUUUUUCUUAAAGGGAGUCUAUCUAAGUAAGGUGUUCCUUGCGAGACACUUAUAUACUGUAUACUCUUUUCAGUAGUCAAACUCAGCAAUGCCCUGCUGGCGAGUCCUAACAAGGGCAAAUCAGCUGUCUCUGGCUGCUGACUGACUCCGUAUACACAAAAUUGCAAUUAGAAGUUUGUCUCCACUUCUGCUUCCAAGCAUAUGAAAUAGUAAUAGUUCAGGUGGGGAGCUGCGUCAGCAUGUGUAGGCUGCAAAGGAACAAGUAAUAGGUUUAUUCCAUGCUGAAAA